rnacentral:rRNA from 1 species
GACGAACGCUGGCGGCGUGCUUAACACAUGCAAGUCGAACGGAAAGGCCCUGCUUUUGUGGGGUGCUCGAGUGGCGAACGGGUGAGUAACACGUGAGUAACCUGCCCUUGACUUUGGGAUAACUUCAGGAAACUGGGGCUAAUACCGGAUAGGAGCUCCUGCUGCAUGGUGGGGGUUGGAAAGUUUCGGCGGUUGGGGAUGGACUCGCGGCUUAUCAGCUUGUUGGUGGGGUAGUGGCUUACCAAGGCUUUGACGGGUAGCCGGCCUGAGAGGGUGACCGGCCACAUUGGGACUGAGAUGCGGCCCGGACUCCUACGGAAGGCAGCAGUGGGGGAUAUUGCACAAUGGGCGGAAGCCUGAUGCAGCAACGCCGCGUGCGGGAUGAAGGCCUUCGGGUUGUAAACCACUAACGCCUGUGAAAAAGCGUGAGUGACGAUAAUGGGUAAAGAAGCAACGGCUAAGUACGUG